rnacentral:rRNA from 1 species
UACGAAGGGUGCUAGCGUUGUUCGGAAUUACUGGGCGUAAAGCGCGCUUAGGUGGCUCUGCAAGUCAGAGGUGAAAUCCUGAGGCUUAACCUUAGAAUUGCCUUUGAAACUGCAAAGCUUGAGUACUGGAGGGGAUGGUGGAAUUCCUAAUGUAGCGGUGAAAUGCGUAGAUAUUAGGAGGAACACCGGUGGCGAAGGCGACCAUCGGGACAGUAACUGACACUGAGGCGCGAAAGCGUGGGGAUCAAACAGG